CUUCCGAACACGUUGGAGGAAACUGAUGCUUUUCUGAAUGAGGAGAAAUCCAGGGCCUCCUGUUUCACAGGCCUGAAUGCUUCGGUUGUUGAAUAAUAUAAUAAGCAGACACAAGAAAUACAACAACUGAUGGAAAAACUAGAGGAAAAGAAAAAUGUGUUGGAUAGCUAUAAACAAAAUAUUUCACAGGUCAAAGAAAGAUGGCUAAACCCCUUGAAAAAGCUGGUUGAGCAAAUCAAUGAGAAGUUCAGUAACUUUUUUAAUUCUAUGCAGUGUGCUGGUGAAGUUGAUCUGAGGUAUGAUAUAAUUUUCAUGCAGAAGAAUAACAAACAUUUUCAUGCAUCUUCUUGCACUUAUAUAUUGCUAGAGAUAAAAUAAUAACUUGGCAUUUGGAUUAUAGGAAAGAUGAUCUCUAAAGGUUCUUCAUGUUUUUAACUGACAAACAAACUUUUUUUAAAUGCUAGAACUGACUGCUCAGUCUGACCAAAGCAAAAUAAGUCUUUGUCCAGUUGCAUAGGUGUUCAACUCUAUUGACUUUUGGAAGAUUCCUGCAACUGAAUAAACAAUCAUCUUUCUCUAAGACUAAAUUGCUGGGGUUUUUUUUAUCUUUUCACCAAAGGUUGAUUUUUGAGAAUGCCUUUUAGAUUUUAAAUUUCUGGAAAUGUUUUUACCUUCUGCCAAAGCAAUACCCUUCAGGGAAAGCGGCAAGUAUUUGAGCUGUGCAUUUAUCUAAAUUUUCAGAAUACUGUCCCAGCUUCCUUCUUUUCACUGUAGUAGGUUGAAGUGGGCAUCUUAGUUCUGAUUUUUUCCUCUCUGUUUUUCCCUAAUGUACAAUGUUCAGUUAGAAACAUUAUAUUUACUUUAGCUGUAACUCAGAUUUAUUAUGUUAGUGAUGUAAUUCUGCUUUUUUUGGCUAAUUUGUGCUAUUCUAUUACCAUAUAGUGGCUAUUUGGUUUUACACUGAUUUGGUUCUACAUGUGGUUAUUUUCAAGUCUGUUGGCAUUUUGACUUUUCUGGAGCAGUAGCAAUCAUUUGGACCAGCCUGUUAUGUCAUUGGUAACAUUUAUAGGCAGGAUUUACCUCUGAUGAA